AGUCGUAACAAGGUAUCCGUAGGUGAACCUGCGGAUGGAUCAUUAACAAAGGUGUAUUUGAAGUUGUGUGAACAGUUGGAGGUGGUGGUGGUGGUGGUAUUGGGUGGUACUGGGUGGUAUUGGGUGGUAUUGAGUGGUGUAACCUUGGUCUAACCUUGGUCAACCUCACUCAACCUCACUCUCCCAACCUCACUCUCCCAACCUCCACCACUCCGUCCCUAUAAUGUAUACAAACUGAUGUCUGCUAGUUUCAAACUAAAACAACUUUUAGCAACGGAUCUCUUGGCUCUC
rnacentral:misc_RNA from 1 species